UGCGCAGGCGGUUUUGUAAGACAGAGGUGAAAUCCCCGGGCUCAACCUGGGAACUGCCUUUGUGACUGCAAGGCUGGAGUGCGGCAGAGGGGGAUGGAAUUCCGCGUGUAGCAGUGAAAUGCGUAGAUAUGCGGAGGAACACCGAUGGCGAAGGCAAUCCCCUGGGCCUGCACUGACGUUGAGGCUCGAAAGCGUGGGAGCAAACA
rnacentral:rRNA from 1 species